UUCCCCCAAAUUAGUCCUGCCUUAUCCCUUUUUCUGCCGCCGUCCUGCGCGGGUUCCCCGCUGGCGGCUGGCCGCACCUUACCACCCACGUCCGACCAUCCUCCGCCCAAGUAGAUAGGAAGAAGCGAGGAGGGACGUAUCCGACUGCGGCACCUAGGAGAGGUGGACCAGGGGAGACGCAUCUCCCCGGCAAGCACGGGAAUACUGCUGUGAUUCAAACAGGGUGACGGGCCGCCGGCGGCGCCGCCCGAGUACACAGCCUACAUCGCCCACGGUCGGCGCUCAGUUUCACGCCCAUCGCCACCGGCGACCUCUCGGGAAACGGCCAGACGGUGGGAGUUUAGGACACCACUGCCGAUGCGGCCAUAACCUGGGCUUCUCCUUAUCCACAUCCCGGCGGUUGGCUCUGCUUCUUCUCCAGUGAUCGUUGCAAUAUCUACCUCUAGAUACCUAGGCAGGUGAGCUUGUUGCUGCUGUUGGAGCACUAAACACUUGGUCUUGGACAUCAUAGCCACCCCACCAUUACCUUGGACGCUACUUCAAAUCCUGGCGGCACAAAAUUUUAGUGGAAACACAAGAUUUUCAUUAGGAAUAGAUACUUCUUUUGUCAAAGAAGUACCAUGUCAGAUUUACCAUCUUGUAAAAUCAACUGCGAUGGGGCGUUCCCUGCACCUGAGGGCACUAGUGGUGGUGGCUGGGGCUUCGUCAUACAACACUUGCCAGGAGAUGUGAGAGGCUCUGGAACGGGGCGCCUUCGACAUGUAGCAAGUGCUCUUCAAGCGGAAGCGAGGGCAUGCAGUGCUGCUUUGCAAGCGGCCUCCUGACGGGGUAUGAAAAAUGUGGAGGUCGAGUCUAAUUACCAGACACUGAUAAAAGCGCUCCAAUGUUCAGUUUAUGACAGGGCACCAGAAGGAAUUUUAUUCACAGAGAUUUGGGACUUCGCUCGUCUAAGUUUCAGUGCUUGCAUGUUUUCUACUGCCCCCAAGGCAUGUAAUAACUUGGUGCACGCUCUUGCAGCUUUUGGUGCCUCUCAACAGGCAGACCUACAUCUGUGGUUAGAGGACCUGCCUGACAAGGUACUUGUUCAACGGGACAGCGCUUUGGCUACGGAGUAUGGAAAAGUACUGUACUAGACUACCAAUUAGUGCUUGAUUGAUGCUAUAGUUGUAUGAUUGUACAGUUCAGAACUUAAGCUCUCGUUCAUUAGUGGUCUUGCGCUCCUUCGUGAGUACUGAUCUCAAAUAUUCAAAUUUUUAUGGUCAUUUUAAAGUUGUGCA